CCUACGGGAGGCAGCAGUGGGGAAUUUUGGACAAUGGGCGAAAGCCUGAUCCAGCAAUGCCGCGUGCAGGAAGAAGGCCUUCGGGUUGUAAACUGCUUUUGUACGGAGCGAAAAGGCUCUCUCUAAUACAGGGGGCUCAUGACGGUACCGUAAGAAUAAGCACCGGCUAACUACGUGCCAGCAGCCGCGGUAAUACGUAGGGUGCAAGCGUUAAUCGGAAUUACUGGGCGUAAAGCGUGCGCAGGCGGUUUUGUAAGACAGGCGUGAAAUCCCCGGGCUCAACCUGGGAAUGGCGCUUGUGACUGCAAAGCUGGAGUGCGGCAGAGGGGGAUGGAGUUCCGCGUGUAGCAGUGAAAUGCGUAGAUAUGCGGAGGAACACCGAUGGCGAAGGCAAUCCCCUGGGCCUGCACUGACGCUCAUGCACGAAAGCGUGGGGAGCAAACAGGAUUAGAUACCCUGGUAGUCCACGCCCUAAACGAUGUCAACUGGUUGUUGGGUCUUUACUGACUCAGUAACGAAGCUAACGCGUGAAGUUGACCGCCUGGGGAGUACGGCCGCAAGGUUGAAACUCAAAUGAAUUGACGG
rnacentral:rRNA from 1 species